rnacentral:rRNA from 1 species
GAUGAACGCUGGCGGCGUGCCUAAUACAUGCAAGUCGAGCGAACGGACGAGAAGCUUGCUUCUCUGAUGUUAGCGGCGGACGGGUGAGUAACACGUGGAUAACCUACCUAUAAGACUGGGAUAACUUCGGGAAACCGUAGCUAAUACCGGAUAAUAUUUUGAACCGCAUGGUUCAAAAGUGAAAGACGGUCUUGCUGUCACUUAUAGAUGGAUCCGCGCUGCAUUAGCUAGUUGGUAAGGUAACGGCUUACCAAGGCAACGAUACAUAGCCGACCUGAGAGGGUGAUCGGCCACACUGGAACUGAGAAACGGUCCAGACUCCUACGGGAGGCAGCAGUAGGGAAUCUUCCGCAAUGGGCGAAAGCCUGACGGAGCAACGCCGCGUGAGUGAUGAAGGUCUUCGGAUCGUAAAACUCUGUUAUUAGGGAAGAACAUAUGUGUAAGUAACUGUGCACAUCUUGACGGUACCUAAUCAGAAAGCCACGGCUAACUACGUA